rnacentral:rRNA from 1 species
GACGAACGCUGGCGGCGUGCUUAACACAUGCAAGUCGAACGGAAAGGCCCUGCUUUUGUGGGGUGCUCGAGUGGCGAACGGGGGAGUAACAAGUGAGUAACCUGCCCUUGACUUUGGGAUAACUUCAGGAAACUGGGGCUAAUACCGGAUAGGAGCUCCUGCUGCAUGGUGGGGGUUGGAAAGUUUCGGCGGUUGGGGAUGGACUCGCGGCUUAUCAGCUUGUUGGUGGGGUGGUGGCUUACCAAGGCUUUGACGGGUAGCCGGCUUGAGAGGGUGCACGGCCUCAUCGGUACGGAGAUACGGCCAUGGGCGCUACGGGAGAGAGCAGUGGGGAAUAUUCCACAAAUGGCGCAUGUGUGAUGCAGGAACUCGGCGUGCGGAAUGAUGGUGUUCGGGAUGAAAACCGGUACAGUUUGUGACGAGGCGUGAGAGCCGAUACUAGGUAAAGAAACACGGGCAAACUAUG